GAAUGAAGAACGUAGCGAAAUGCGAUACGUAAUGUGAAUUGCAGAAUUCAGUGAAUCAUCGAAUCUUUGAACGCAUAUUGCGCUCUUUGGUAUUCCGAAGAGCAUGCUUGUUUGAGUAUCAGUAAACACCUCAACCUCUUCUUGAUUUUUCAAAAGGAGGGUGGACUUGAGCUAUCCCAACAACCUUUACCGGUCGGCGGGCGGCUUGAAAUGCAGGUGCAGCUGGACUUUUAUCUGAGCUAAAAGCAUAUCUAUUUAGUCCUCGUCAAACAGGAUUAUUACUUUUGCUGCAGCUAACAUAAAGGAUAAUUGUCCUCUUUGCUGACUGAUGCAGGAUUUUACGACACUUUAUGUGUUGUUCAACUCGAUCUCAAAUCAAGUAAGACUACCCGCUGAACUUAAGCAUAUCAAUAAGCGGAGGA
rnacentral:misc_RNA from 1 species